GUCUACAGCCAUGCCACCCUAAACAAGCCCGAUCCCAUCUGAUCUCAGAAGCUAAGCAGGGGCCCACCUGGUUAGUACUUGAAUGGGAGACCACCUAGGAAGACCAGGUGCUGUAGGCA
rnacentral:rRNA from 1 species